rnacentral:rRNA from 1 species
GGGUAGUUUGACUGGGGCGGUCUCCUCCUAAAGAGUAACGGAGGAGCACGAAGGUUGGCUAAUCCUGGUCGGACAUCAGGAGGUUAGUGCAAUGGCAUAAGCCAGCUUGACUGCGAGCGUGACGGCGCGAGCAGGUGCGAAAGCAGGUCAUAGUGAUCCGGUGGUUCUGAAUGGAAGGGCCAUCGCUCAACGGAUAAAAGGUACUCCGGGGAUAACAGGCUGAUACCGCCCAAGAGUUCAUAUCGACGGCGGUGUUUGGCACCUCGAUGUCGGCUCAUCACAUCCUGGGGCUGAAGUAGGUCCCAAGGGUAUGGCUGUUCGCCAUUUAAAGUGGUACGCGAGCUGGGUUUAGAACGUCGUGAGACAGUUCGGUCCCUAUCUGCCGUGGGCGCUGGAGAACUGAGGGGGGCUGCUCCUAGUACGAGAGGACCGGAGUGGACGCAUCACUGGUGUUCGGGUUGUCAUGCCAAUGGCACUGCCCGGUAGCUAAAUGCGGAAGAGAUAAGUGCUGAAAGCAUCUAAGCACGAAACUUGCCCCGAGAUGAGUUCUCCCUGACUCCUUGAGAGUCCUGAAGGAACGUUGAAGACGACGACGUUGAUAGGCCGGGUGUGUAAGCGCAGCGA